UAGGAUUCAAAACUCAAUACCAGAUGUCGCUAGUGUCGCCUAUGUUUACAUCGUGAAACGAGGCGAAAAGGGCGAGACAAAUUGUAGCUAAUUAAUACUUAUAUUCCUGUGAUUUCAUAUGCCAAAUUGAGCUUCGUAUAUUAUAUGCAUACUGUCAGUCCAAGCUGGCAGUCAUUCGGCUCAUUCCAACAAGCUUAUUACUUGGCACUCAGUCACUUUGCAUUCAUCACAUCCUCAUGCUGUCAAAAGCCUAAAAUUCAUGUGUGUAUCCCACAUAUUGUGGAAUACAAAUGUGUGGAGACAAGGUAUUUCCCCAUUACUGUUGUGUUAUCACACCAACCACACCACGUCAAAUGCCUUACUAAAUUCAUCACCAUUCACCCAUAUGAUAAAGCAUCAGGAAAUCUCAACAUGAGGCGUAAUGCUGUUGGUUGCAGUGAUUUCCAUUUUUAUGGUUUUCUAUCAUGAAAAUUUAAGUGUGCUUCUUAGUAAAGGACUAUAGAGCACGUAAGAGAUCCCUAAUCCAAUGCUGACCUUUGUCUAUGACGGAAGAAUGACUUCCACCAACGUUCUGCUCCAUCCUUAUCUUCCCGACGUACGCUCAUCUAGCUUCACUGCUUUUGCUACUUGUCUUACUUCACCGACGAGUUGGAACACUUCAGUGGUCGCUACCCUUUCCUGUUACACACCUGCAGUUACUCACCACGGGAUUAUGCACAGGAAAAAAUGUGAAAGGUGCAUGAAGCCAGUACCGUCAACUAUUGUGUUAAAAAUCCUGGUAUCCUACAGAAUAUGUCAUCCAAAUGACAGAGUGGAUUCAUCACUAAUAUCGGCUGAAUCAUUCUAUGGGACUUGCCAGAUCACUAACCCAAGCAUGGACCAAUUUCUCAUUCCAUCUUCUAGAGAACCUUACAUAACCGAUUGGUGGUUUAGUGUGUAACUUUAUUUUUUAUUUACAGGUUUUAGGUUUCUAAUGUAGCAUGAUGAUGAUAGACUUUAUGAGAAUUCAUUUUGUUUGAAGAAAAAGGACUAUACAGUCGACAAGGUUCUUUGCUAACCCGUUGGCUGCUACCCUUGAAUCUGAGAAUCUCCCUGUUUACUUCUUUACACGGGUCCUCUUGAUUUAAGGGUAAUCCUUCGCUACUGAUCAUACACCCACUUGUGAAAACCGACGAGAGAACAUUGCUGUAAUCCAAGACUGAUACAUUGUGUAGUUGUUAGAUAAA